AAUUAGGGGAGCUUGGUUUAACCUUGCUGAGAGUAGACUGUGUGUCUAGACCCAUAACCUGAUUUGGAUAAUGCCAACGUAGGGAAACAUAAAAA
rnacentral:ncRNA from 1 species